rnacentral:rRNA from 1 species
CACGAGUUUGAUCCUGGCUCAGGAUGAACGCUAGCGGCAGGCCUAACACAUGCAAGUCGAACGAGACCUUCGGGUCUAGUGGCGCACGGGUGCGUAACGCGUGGGAAUCUGCCCUUUGCUUCGGAAUAACAGUUAGAAAUGACUGCUAAUACCGGAUAAUGUCUUCGGACCAAAGAUUUAUCGCCUUUAGAUGGGCCCGCGUUGGAUUAGCUAGUUGGUGGGGUAAAGGCCUACCAAGGCGACGAUCCAUAGCUGGUCUGAGAGGAUGAUCAGCCACACUGGGACUGAGACACGGCCCAGACUCCUACGGGAGGCAGCAGUGGGGAAUAUUGGACAAUGGGCGAAAGCCUGAUCCAGCAAUGCCGCGUGAGUGAUGAAGGCCUUAGGGUUGUAAAGCUCUUUUACCCGAGAUGAUAAUGACAGUAUCGGGAGAAUAAGCUCCGGCUAACUCCGUG